rnacentral:rRNA from 1 species
GACGAACGCUGGCGGCGUGCUUAACACAUGCAAGUCGAGCGGAAAGGCCCUUUCGGGGGUACUCGAGCGGCGAACGGGUGAGUAACACGUGAGUAAUCUGCCCCUGGCUUUGGGAUAGCCACCGGAAACGGUGAUUAAUACCGGAUACGACCACUUCUCGCAUGGGAUGGUGGUGGAAAGUUUUUCGGCCAGGGAGGUGCUCGCGGCCUAUCAGCUUGAUGGUGAGGUAAUGGCUCACCAUGGCGUCGACGGGUAGCCGGCCUGAGGGGGGAACCGGUAACACUGGGACUGAGACACGGCCCAGACUCCUACGGGAGGCAGCAGUGGGGAAUAUUGGACAAGGGGCGGAAGCCUGAUCCAGCAACGCCGCGUGAGGGAUGACGGCCUUCGGGUUGUAAACCUCUUUCAGCAGGGACGAAGCGCAAGUGACGGUACCUGCAGAAGAAGCACCGGCCAACUACGUGCCAGCCGCCGCCGUAA